UNGCAAUGGGUUCUUAUGCAUUGGUGCA
rnacentral:piRNA from 1 species